ensembl:lncRNA
ACCCACUAGACGACAGCAACCCAACCCACUAGACGACAGCAACCCAACCCACUAGACGACAGCUACCCAACCCACUAGACAACAUAACAACCCAACCCACUAGACGACAGCAAAACAAUGUAUGUAUUUUGACAGAUUGCCACUCACAAAACCAAGCCACAAAGACCAAAACUUCACAUGUACAGUGAUACACCUGUUGCUGAGUGACUGAUCUAGUGAGGUGGCCAGCUCCACGGCUUUGGUUUCUGUAGACGAGUCCAGAAACACCAUCAUUUUGGCAGCUGCAGGAGAAGAGAGGAAGAAGAAAGGGGGAAGAGAGAGAGGAAGAAGAGAGAGGGGAAAGAAGAGAGAGAGGAAAGAAGAGAGAGAGGAAAGAAGAGAGAGAGGAAAGAAGAGAGAGAGGAAAGAAGAGAGAGAGGAAAGAAGAAAGAGAGAGGAAGAAGAGAGGGGAAGAAGAGAG